CCGAGCCGCAGCCGGCGGGCGCCCAGGCACCGGGACAGCCCGCGGGCAGCGGCCGGGAGCGGCCGUCACUCGCUCAUCCCUGCGGAUCCUUGCCUGGCGACAAUUCCCGAAACAUGAUUACCAUCAAAAGGAAAAAAACCCUCAGGCACCAGCUAUGCUAAGCAGCUGCAGUAUGGAGCUUGGGAAAAACAUUUUGUGAGGAAGAUCACUGAUCUGGAAACAAACUCCACAUGUGCAGAUGUGCAUGGAAACAUUCUCUUUAAAAAGAGUCUUCAAGAUGGUUCCUCUGCCCUGAUAAGUCUCUCCUCCCUGCUGGAGUUACCUUCUUCUUAAAGAUUAGACAUGUUCCAAAGUGCCUGAACACUGGUGUGGAUUGGUCCCUCUUGGAUGCACCACACAAAGAAGCUGGAGAGCUGAGCACUGAAUUGUUGCAGGUCGCAGCAAGGGCAGCACUGCCAUAACUUGAAAACCUUCUCCUGCCUGGGGUCACAUGAAACCCCCUGUCCUGCCAGCAGCCCGGGUUCCUCAAACGGUGCAGGUGCUGUGCUUCCUGCAGGCUCCCUCCUCCAGCCGCAGGCAGGGCACGGACAGCAGCACGGCAGCAUCU
rnacentral:lncRNA from 1 species